GUGAGAGUGCCAAUGUUGGGGCUGCUCGACUUCUUCAAGAAGCUGCAAGGAUUUUGAAGAGAGAGUCAGAAAGCACAGCCACUGCUGGCUCAGGAUCACAGACUGGUACUGGGACGUGUUCACCCAGUUCUUUUAGAGGUUUGUUUAACAACAUGCAAACCUCACUAGCUGAAGUACAACAGGGAACCCCUACAGUCGAUUCAGGCAGGAUUCCCUGCACUAGAAAUGACCACAUUCAAAGAAAUCUUGUGCAGCUGUUUCAGCCAUGUGAUCGGGCAAGGGGGCAAAAGAUGUUCCAGAAAACUGGAAAGUGUAAACGGAAAACUACACACAGUGAAACCUGGACACGUGAUUUCUUUUGCUUACAGAGACCAAUGUUCAAACUGUGCCCAAUGGAGAAGACCGCAUUGGUUUACAGAAUUCAGCCCUUGGUAGGAAAAAAAUAACAUUUGCAGACAAAAAUGGAGGAUUUUCUGAACUAUGUGAAACUCUGUUUUCACAUUUUCCACAAUUGAAAGGUGCAGGAGGCUUUCAGAUGUUGAGGUCCGUUAAUAAAACCAAACAAUUGGCACCAAUUCCAAUGCCAGCCGGUGAGUACAGUGAGAAAUUUCUGAGAACUGAGAGUGGCCUGAACCAGGCAAUGGCCUACAUUCGACCACUUCAGAAAAACCUGGAGAGCAUUGCGAAGCGUGAGGCUGAAGAGGUAAGAACAGUUGUCAAAAUCUGAUCUCCUCUAUAUUCCUUCUUCUUCGCCUCCCUCUACAGACCUUUCUAUCUGAAUUUCCCUUGAUUCUAUCACCCUUUCCCCUUCCUCCUCUGCCCAAACCUUGGUGUCACCUUUGAUUCCUCCCUUUCCAACUCUCAACAUAUUUCUUCACUGGCACGCUCUUACUGUCUCUUUUUGAGCAAUAUCUAUUGCAUUAAACCUGCUGGACUAUGGCCCUCGACGAUCAGGACUGGAGAUCACUGGGUUAAGGUGUAAAUGCACAUGUAACACAUACUAUAAAAAUGAAGCAUGUUAAAAAUAAAUGUGUGUUUGUUUGUUGUAGUGUCAAGAGGUGGUCAUGGAGAAGUGCAAAAGGUGUGGAAAAGAUAUCCCUCUGCAAUGCCUUUCAGAACACAUUGAAAACUGUGGAAGGUCAUCUGUUUUUCUGGUGUAUUUGUCAUAUAAAUUGCUCAUUUACUUUUACAACAUAGUGGUUGACUUGUAUCUGUGGUAAAUAUGUUUUGACAUUCAAAGCAUGUAUGUCUUUGUUAACUGUUUUCAGACAGCCUGAUGACACUGAUUUGGAAGAUGAUGUCGUUAUGGAGAUAUCUGAAGAGACUCAACUAUCUAUGUCAUCACAUGACAACACAUCCCAUGUUCUAAAUUAUUACAACAAGUGCCAUGCUUCUUCUAGUGGACUGUACAGAGACUAUGUGGACCUUGUCAGUGAAGACAAUGUAUUUAGUGAUUCUGAAGAAGAGCAGCUGAAUAGAGUUCUAGAGGAAUCGCUAAAGGAAAGCUCGCAUGCAGCUUUUAAAUUUCAAAGUCAGACAAUUAAAAAGGAACUGGAUGAUGCGGUUCGACUGGUAUGUUCUUCAGCGAACAAGAACACAGUUUGAAAGGUUGCAAGAAGGACUCCGUUCUCUCGGUGUAAUGGAUUCUAUGAAGGCCCACCCUGAAACCUUUAAACCUAUUUUCUGUCAAUCGACAGAGAAGCUGACUGCUGAUGUGCUUGAAGAGCAGCGAUCUGACUGUGGGAGUAACAAGUUUGAGAGAGAAAAUGAAGCAGUAUGUCAUUGGAGGGAUUAUCUCUUGGAUGUAGAGAUGGGGAUUUGUGGAGUUACCCUGGAGGACAUCCUUGUCUUUGCCACAGGAAGUGACAGUGUACCAGCAUUGGGCUUCAACCCUGCUCCAACUGUUGAAUUUUUGCAUGAUGGUUCACGGUUUCCACUUGCAAACACAUGUUCCAGCAUAUUAAGGGUACCAUGCAGGCAUUCAUACGAGUCCUUCAGGGAUGAUAUGGACUUUGGAAUUAAAAAUUCCCCAGGCUUUGGAAGGGCAUAACCAAAUUCCUUUGCUUACCAUACCUGUAGUCAAAGGGCACAAGUAUGUUCGAUCCUAAGAACAAUGUUAUGCAUGCCAAAGUGCUGCUAGAAUUUUUAUGUUUGUCAUUUUUGUUAUCUAUAAUUCUUUGUACACUUAAAUUUAGCAAGUGAGUCACUUUUGGUUGAGAAUUCUUACCUGUAGUUAUUAUUAUUGCAGAUAUUUAGCAGACACCUUUAUUAAGCACUACAAUUCAAUUUACUAAAAUAUUAAAAUGUAAUAGUUCAAUCUGUCAAUAUUAACAUCAGUGCCUUUAAAUAAAAGUAUAGGCUGGAUCUUUUCCCUCCUAAGGAUUUUUGGUAAUAGAGAAUUCUUAACAGUUGUUAAGUUGUUCCAAGAAAGAACAUUUUACUUUUCCUCCUUAUUAAUAAACACUAUUUGCAUUUCUGUGA